GAAAUUAAAAGAUUUAAACUAAAAAAGCAUUUUGAAUUGAUGCCAGCAGCUGCAUUGCCAAGAUAAAAUGUUCGCCGGUUUUGUAUAAAACACAAAUAAGCUUUUGAUCAAGGCAUCUGAUAUAAUGGGUUUUUUUUUAUAAGAAAUAUACAAAAUAUGAAUUAUGAAUAAAAAAGAAGAAGAGAAGAGAUAAAAAGUCAAAGGCAGGAAGUUGAUAUAGGAAGAGAAAGCCUUGUGCAUGCAGGCAAAAUAGUCCACAAAUCUAGUGCCAAAAUAACAAUGUACAUUUAUAUUAAAUUUCUUCUUUGAAAUGAAAAGUACUAACGCCAUAUAUUAGAAAAAGUGAUGUUUUACAAUUGCAAUCUGUAUAUUUUCUUCCUGAUUUUAUGAAUACUGUAUUUUAUAAAUGACAACAGUGGUUUAGGUUACACUGCCUUUUAAUGUUAUUUCACAUGAUCAUAUGAGACAGCUCUUUCUUUUAAUAAACAUAUCAGAAUAC
rnacentral:sRNA from 1 species